UGUAGAUUGCAGGUUGGAGUCUUUGUGGAAGCGUGUGUCUAAGUCCCUUGGAACAGGGUGCCAUUGAGGGUGAGAGCCCCGUGAGACGCGUGCGGAAGCUGUAAGGCCCUUCUGACGAGUCGAGUUGUUUGGGAAUGCAGCUCUAAGUGGGUGGUAAAUUCCAUCUAAGGCUAAAUAUUGGCGAGAGACCGAUAGCGAACAAGUACUGUGAAGGAAAGAUGAAAAGCACUUUGAAAAGAGAGUGAAACAGCACGUGAAAUUGUUGAAAGGGAAGGGUAUUGGGCUCGACAUGGGAUUUGCGCACCGCUGCUCCUUGUGGGCGGCGCUCUGUGCUUUUCCUGGGCCAGCAUCGGUUUUUGCCGCAGGAGAAGGCGUGCUGGAAUGUGGCUCUUCGGAGUGUUAUAGCCAGUGCGAGAUGCUGCGUGCGGGGACCGAGGACUGCGACAUCUGUCUCGGAUGCUGGCACAACGGCGCAAUACCGCCC
rnacentral:rRNA from 1 species